CACACACACACACACACUGUGAUUUAACAGUCCAGCAGACGCAGGCUGAAACAAGCGGAAAAACCCUGAACGUACAAGGAAUUUCCUUAUUUUCUUUCUCUUUCUUUUUUCAUUAAGGGAACGUUACUUUUGAAUGUUCUAAAACAAUGAAUAACUCAAACGUUUCAGGAGAAACAUUGCACGAAUAGAACCUUGAGAGAGAGACAUAGAGAGAGAGAGAGAGAGACAGAGAGAGAGAGAGAGAGAGAGAGAGA